AGUCUUUCUUAUUCCCUCUGUUGUCAGUUCAGGGCAAGGCCAGGAGGGAGGAACCUUAGAUUCUAGUCUGGACUUCUUUACUUAAAUGGGGGCCAGAUCUUUAGCCUUCUAGAAUCUUCUUGGAAAGUACAGGUAUUUGCUUGGCCUCCCUCAGCAAUCAGGUUGGCCGGCAUCGUGAGGUCAGCACAGUGCAAAGGGAGUGUUUUCUGUGGAAGAUUCAGAGUCUCCCUCUGAGGGAAGCCGGGCAUGCACCCAGGGAAGGAGGCUUCGCACAGGGAUACUUUUGAGACUGAUGCAAAAUCCUAAGCAGUGGCGUUCCCGUGACUCAGCUGGUGGGCGGAAGUGAUUUUAAAUAAUGACAGUAUCACCAUCUCCCCACUCCUACGGUGUCACACAUCACCAAAUGCGUGCUCACUGGCCCUGAACACCCUGACUCAGCCAGUGUGCACGGGGUUGAAGAGAACAAAGGGAAGGUAGGUGGGUCCCCGGCUCUGCCUCCGAACCACGAGAACUGAUUUGCUGCGUGUGGGGAGCAGUGUCUCUCUCUUCCUCAGAAACAGGCACAGAAAAGCGGGUGGGAAAGGUCACCUUGUCCAUCCGCCCUCCAAUUUUAAAACGGUCCUCCAGGAGUUAAGUGCAGCGGUAAUUAUAGCCACCAUUGUCAGGAAAGAGGCCACUUGAGUUAAUUAGAAAGGGAAGCCACCCAAUUGCAGUUAACAACAUGGAGGGAUUGGUAGCGUUUUUGAGAGAAGGAAGCUUCGGGGACUGAAUAGCGCCAUUUACAGUGUCUAUUCAGACUGAACAACAGGAGAAUCAGCUCAGCCUCGGAGUGUGGGUCAUGGCCGAGCUUGGAGCUAAUGAGUGACCAAAACAGUGCCUGUCACCAAGGCAGUCUUGUGUCCUCCCUGACCCUGGGUGCCUUUCGAGCAGUCUGUUCCUGGUGGCAGAAAUCUGGAAACGGCCCGAGCACACUUGCUGAGAGGAGAAUGGAUGAAUGAAUUGCACACCCAUAGAGCAGAGUACUACUCUGCCAUUAAAAUAAAUGAGCAGCAUGCGGAAACAGCAUUGGGGACUCUCCAAAACAGCAUGUUGCUCUAAAGAAGCCAGACACAAAGACUGCACACUGUGAUCUACCAAGGCAAAUGAACCCACAGCAGAGGAAGUGGCUUGGUGGCUGCUGCCUGCCACGGGAACAGGAGACGUCGACGGCAGUGGGAGGGACCCAUCUGUGAGAUGAAGGCGAGGUCUGGUUCACAUGGUGGCACCAGGGAGAUGCUCCGGUGACACACAGUGCAAAGCUUGCCCCAGGGUAACCCCUUGUCCAUCCCUGGGCUUUGUCAAGAUGCAGCCAGAGGCUGGUUCACAAGAAGCAAUUGGUGGCUUCACGCAGCUCCCUGGGGAAAGCCCUCACUGCCGGAAUCACGUGCAGCCCCCAGUCACGGGUCUGUGGUGCGUCACGAUCAUGAGUCUGCGGGGAUGAGAGCUCCGUGAUUCACACAUGUCAAGCUGGGCAGAGGCUGGUUCUCGAACCUUCCCAUAGGACCAGGCAGGGCUAAAAGAACCUGAAUCAGAGUUCCUGUAAUUAAGGCGUCAUCAAGGUUGGCAGUUAUCAGAAUGGGAUCUGAGAGAGGUUUUGGAAGCGGGUUGUGUGUGUUGGUCGGAUAUCCAUUCCCUUGAAGGGGGGAGGGGAGAAAGUGCACCAAUCUACCAUUGCCAGUCCAGAAAUCCUGCCUGCCAGAUGGCUUAGGAUGUCUGUCAGUCACUCCUGGAGUGAGGGAGGAGAGAAGCUAGGGUAGAAGAAGUGUGGUGUGUGUUUGUGUGUC
rnacentral:lncRNA from 1 species